rnacentral:rRNA from 1 species
CCUACGGGGGGCAGCAGUGGGGAAUUUUGGACAAUGGGGGCAACCCUGAUCCAGCCAUGCCGCGUGCGGGAAGAAGGCCUUCGGGUUGUAAACCGCUUUUAGCCGGGAGGAAAAGGCGAGGGAUAACACCCUUCGUUCUUGACGGUACCGGCGGAAUAAGCACCGGCUAACUACGUGCCAGCAGCCGCGGUAAUACGUAGGGUGCGAGCGUUACUCGGAAUUACUGGGCGUAGAGCGUGCACUGGCGGGUGAAAGCCCCGGGAUCAACCUGGGAAUGGCAUUGGAUACUGGCGGGCUUGAGUGUGGCAGAGGGGGGUGGAAUUCCGCGUGUAGCAGUGAAAUGCGUAGAGAUGCGGAGGAACACCGAUGGCGAAGGCAGCCCCCUGGGCUGACCCUGACGCUCAGGCACGAAAGCGUGGGGAGCAAACAGGAUUAGAUACCCGAGUAGUC